GGUGCGCCGAUGUGUGGCGAAGAGGGAACCCGGUGGGAAUCCGGGACUGUCCCGCAGCGGUGAGCAGGAACGAACGCCGCCACGAGCACUGGAUGCCCGCGCAUCCGGGAAGCGACGGCCAGUAGGUCGGCCCGACCGGGCCGGUGCCCGCGAGUCCGAAGACCUGCC
rnacentral:ncRNA from 2 species